UACAGAGGGUGCGAGCGUUAAUCGGAAUUACUGGGCGUAAAGCGCGCGUAGGCGGCUUUGCAAGCCGGAUGUGAAAUCCCCAGGCCUAACCUGGGAACUGCAUUCGGGACUGCAUUGCUCGAGUAUGGGAGAGGGAAGUGGAAUUCCCGGUGUAGCAGUGAAAUGCGUAGAUAUCGGGAGGAAUACCGAUGGCGAAGGCAGGUCUCUGGGCUGACACUGACGCUCAUGCACGAAAGCGUGGGGAGCAAACAGG
rnacentral:rRNA from 1 species